rnacentral:rRNA from 1 species
UACGUAGGGGGCAAGCGUUGUCCGGAUUUAUUGGGCGUAAAGAGCGUGUAGGCGGCUAGGUAGGUCCGUUGUGAAAACUCGAGGCUCAACCUCGAGACGUCGAUGGAAACCAUCUAGCUAGAGUCCGGAAGAGGAGAGUGGAAUUCCUGGUGUAGCGGUGAAAUGCGCGGAUAUCAGGAAGAACACCCGUGGCGAAGGCGGCUCUCUGGUACGUGACUGACGCUGAGACGCGAAAGCGUGGGGAGCAAACAGG